CAUUUUUAUGUGUUUCCGUAUCUGGUUGCCUGUGUGUCAAGAAGCUUGCCCACAGUGUCCAACUCUAAAUACUAAGAUUGUUUAAGUAUAUGAGUUUUGCGCAUAAUUUAGAAUGAAUAUCUGACUCAUAUAACUUUUAUGUGUAAAAAAAUUAUUAGGUUUUAAGUUUAAUUAGUGGGGAUUAAUUAUGAGAGCUGAGCGUGUAGAUUGGAAUU
rnacentral:lncRNA from 1 species